AUUUCUAAGCUUGUAGAUGUGUUUGUGAGGUCCCAAGGAGCUUGGGAGUGGUUCGUUGGGUGAAUUUGGACGUCACGAUCGUCCUGUGCAAAGUUGGCCGAGUUUUGACCUUGAAGACAGGUGAUUCGUUUUCCGAAGACGAGCGUACACACUCGAGGCAGGGGGGCUACGACCCUUCUAAUUACCAGUUCUAGUGGUCUAGCAAGUUCAGUGGUUUAUCCCAGAGGGCGUCCCGGCAUUUCUGACAG